AUUUUAUUAUAAUGAUAUUUCACAACUGCAGUAAAACUGCAGGUAACAGUGCAUAAUUCCAGUUUCUUUUCAUCUAAGUGAAAUACCAACAGCAGUCUAUAAAUGGCAGCAUACAUCUGAGCAUGGGCUGUUUGCUUCUUUUCUCUAUUCUCUUGAUUGGAUAUAGGAGAAAAAUUAGCUUUCCGUUCAAAAGGUAGUCAGGAGCUCCUUAAUCAGGGCCAUAUACAUAAAUGAGAUUGACAGCGAGCACAGAAAAACAGAUAAAACACUACUGAUGUUAUUGGAAAACAUCUUUACUAGUUAUACACUCACAUAUAUAAGUAAGCGAUCAAUUCAAAGAAAAUAAUAGGUUUUGGAGUAUUGCUCUGCUUUCUGUGGGGGCUAAGGACAAACAGCACUGCUCAAGAUUCUCUCCUUUUCUAUGUGUGAGCGCAUUUGUCAUCUCAUCUCUUUGCCAAACAGUUUGCCAAAGUAUGAAGUAUGAAGAGCUAACCAAAUCCCCAUGGAGAAAUGGGAGCUUAUCUGAAAAUGAUCUUGUGCUGGAAAAAAACAACAAUCACAAACACACAAAAAAACCAACAAACAAAUAAGCAACAAAAAAUACUCCCCCCAGAAAGACCAAACUGUGCAUGGGUUACUUGAAAAUUAUAACCUAAAGAGAUUACUGUCUCAUAGCCCUUCAAUUGCUUGUGUGAAAUGCAUUUAUGGUCUCAGCCCGAUUCCUAGCAGACAGGUGCCCACAUCAGUGGAAUCACCAGGUGGAGAUGACUAAAUUUUUCCUAUAAAAAAAGGUGAUUAUAGCUAACACAGUGUAAAACAUUAAUAUAAAGUACUUAUAGUUCCCACAGCAGAUGUUACAGUAACUUGGAAUCCUGCUCACUGGAGAAAAUUGUGCCCAGAUGCUUGUACUUAAACUUUAUGGCCCGAACUCUGCCCUCAGAUGUACACAAAACUCCCAGAGAUUUCAGAGCAACUAUUGUUCAUAUAUGUCAGUGCUGUGUCUGACUCCUUUCAGAGUUCACGUUGACCUUCAGACAUACUGUGGGACAAUGGAUCAAAAACCACCCAGCAUGGCUGAGGAUGACAGUGACAAUAUUCCAGCAGUUCGUAGGAGACCCAUCCAAUAUCAAGGCCAAAAUGUACCAGGCAUUUCUCAAACAUAUAUCAAACGCCAGAUCGCUGUAUAAGCAGAAAAAAUAAGAAAGAAAGAAAAGGUUGGGAACAAGUUCAGAGUGUGAAAUGAAUUGCACAAGACCACAGAGUAGCUGGAUGGCAAAAGCGUGAUUAAUGCAACCGUACACCGGUGAAAAGUGUAUCAACUUCUGUAGCUAUUCAAAUAUCCUUAAAGAUGAGAACGGAGCAUAGUCAAAACAAGCAGAAAUGCAUGCUCUUAUUAGAAUUUCAUCAAAAUCACUGUGCUUUUAUUGCCUUUUUGAAUUUCUAAUCAGUCCUUGCAGCGAACUGUCACUGUAGAGCACAGUAGCUCUCAGUACUUGAUCAACCUACAGACAGAAGCACUUUGGAGAGACAGACAGUAGCUGGUGCAUAGCAAGAAAUGACAUCUAAGGCAUCCAUGAGAAAUGAAGCAGAGAAAGGCAGGGGCUAACAGGUAGAGGUGGUUGGGUCUAGGCACAUAACCUGUUGAUUCAGGGAAAAGCUGAAGUUAAAGGGCUGGAUGGGAGAAAAGAACUUGCCUCCUUAGGAUAUGAUGGGUUUCAGGUCAUGAAUGAAGAUGAAGACGUUGAACAAGACCAGAUCCCAUACCAACCCCUGAGGAAGACCACUAGUUACAGGCCUCCAACCAGACUGCCACACUGAUGACAACCCUCUGAGCUCUACCAGCCAAACAGUUCUCAUUCCACCUCACGGUUCUCUCUGGGUAACUGCUGAAGGUCCCUUAUGUACAGAAGCAAAAUUAAACAGUAGCAAUGAGUUCAACUCUUCUUUUACUAGUUCACCAAAGAUAAAAAUUUAUAUUCCCUGUAUACAGAAAAAUCUAAUGCUGAAUUACCUUUAUCUCCAUAAAGCAGAUGUAUUUAUUUCUAAUUUCUAAUACAAAAUUCUUCUACCUGAGAUCACAGAGCGUAUAGCUUUUGACUGUGUUCGAUCAGAUUGAUUGUUCAACUUAUUAUUGCUUAUUUCAACUUCUGAAUCUUAAAUGUUUUCUGAUCAUCUUACUCGGUAUAUUUCAAUAAUGGAGAAAUCUGUAAUUUGGAUUUGUUUUCUACUAUGCUAUCUAUACUGUGAUCUUAAUUUAUUUCUAAUAUUAUCUUAUACUAUUUACGUAAUAUGACCUAUGCAAUUAUUUAAGGUUAAAAGAUCUACAGACGAAGUGAAUAGACAUUUAGAAAGUUUUCAGCUGUUCCACUCUUCGACAUCAACAUCCCUAUUCAUUGCAGAUGAAUGCUGUUCAUUGCAGGGGAGCUGGACUAGAUGACCUGUAAGGGUCCUUUCCAUUUCAAAUGAUUCGGUGAUUCUAUGAUCAAGAAUUUAGGCAACAAGCAAAGUAUUCAGAGUAUAUUUGUAUGGAAGAAAAGGAGUUAAUGCCAUUCAUUGUGAAAAACAAUACAGCUUUCUUUCUGGCUUGCUGGUUGCAGACAUCCUUUUGGCUUCUUAUAGAUUGAUGUGACACCGGAGCAAGUGGGAGCAGUUGUAUUGGUCGUUCUCACCAAACUGAGUUAGCAGCAUCUAUCUCCAGCGCAUGGAGGAAGACUGGAGGUUUCCUAUGGAGGACUUCAGAAGGCUGGGAAAUGCUGGCUGCACACUUCCACUCAGUGCUGAAUGCCCUGAGCCCUGCAGGGUAUCAGAAAUGGCAGUUGCACAAUUCAGAAAGCAUUGCAGACAGCACGAGGCAGCUCUGCGCUAGGCAUGAAGUUAGUGCCGGAAUUUCCCAGUACUUGUGGUUCAGUUCAAGUGUUUGUGACUUGAUUAUAGCAGCUUUGUAUAAACAUAAUAAAAUCCCAACCAUCUGUGUGAGGCUGUACAGUGCCUAUAUGCAAACACAGCCUCACGCACGCCGAAAUGCUCACAUACACAUGCAUGUCUUCAUGUUUGCAUGUGUGUGCGUGUGCACAGAUCCUUUGUGAUUUAAGAGGAUCGAUUUCAUGAAGCUGAAAGUGAUUAUGAAGUAAAUCAGCUGGGAGGAAAAAAAAAUAUCAGAAAAAUGUGAAUGGAAAUUAAAAGCUGUUUACUUCUAACCCCAGACAGCAUAAUCCCACAACUGAACAAAAUGGGAAGCUGUUUAAAAGAACCAAAAUGCUUAGCAAUGAAGGCAUCAGUAACAAUAGCUAGAUCUGUAACAGGUUUAGUAAGAAAACUAUUAAUAAUGAUUUAUAUUGAUAUAUAUUUUUUAUGUUGGAACCUGGAGAAAACUGACACCAUGAAGAAGAAAUAUCUGGUGAGGCAGGGCCCAAAGAAGUAGUGGGUACCCCAUCCCUGGAGGCACUUAAGGUCAGGCUGGACGGGGCUCUGAACACUGAUGGAGCUGUAGGUGUCCCUGUUUAUUGCAGGGGAGUUGGACUAGAUGGCGUUUGAGGGGCCCUUCCAACUCGAAUGAUUAUGUGACUCUAUGACACUAUGAAGUCCAAGAAAACAAAUAAAAUGGAGAUAUUGACCCAUUGUUAGGAAAGUAAAUAGCAAUGUAAAAGGAAACAAACAAACAAAAAAGAUGUGUUUAAUAAAUAACUUUGUUCUGAAUUUUAAAAAGCUAGAUAAUACAUUUACAUCAGUGGUCACUAGCAGCGUUCCCCAGGGCUCAAUUCUAGGGCCAGUCCUGUUCAACCUUUUUAUCAGUGAUUAGAUGCAGAGUUGAAUGCAUCUUCAUUUGUUGUUCAGAAAUGCUCAGAUCCCAGCAUUACGGCAGCAAUAGAAGCGCAUUGUGUUAUUAUCUAUGGCCAUGCUUAUACGUUGCUUCUUUGUGACAAACUUGUGUGCAUUGCCUGGGCCUUGCAGGCAGCUAAAAUGCAGCAUCAUGGGAAGGUAAAAGCUUCUUGAAACCCAGUGAUUCUUCCAGCUGAGAAGAAAACUGACCUGCUUGCAAAGGAUCUGUUUUUUUUCCUAUAAAUACCCAGAUGCUUUUGACAAACACCUCUUAGUACAAUGGAAGAAUUGGAGCCUGCAUGAUUAUUUCCAAGACACCAGUAAAAGGAUAUGAAGAAUACUUAAAAAUGUGAAUUGUGACAAAAACAGAAUUAUGUAAACCUUGACACUCCAUUUCCACUUGCUGCCUUUUGACUGUGAAACAUCAGCUUGUAAGUGCUUGGUGCAAAAUGAGAAAGAAUAUUGUUUUCAGCAAGCUGCACUUUUUACAAAUUGCAUAAUACAACAAAAUGUACUGUAGAAGAAAUAUCCUGAGCCUAAAAAAGAGAGACAAUACCAUUAUUCAUUCUUCCUCAUUUUCCAAGAAAUUUACAAAGUUACAAAAUCAGGGGAAAUGUGUCGUCAAUGUCAUUUCACAGAAAUACAGAAAUACCAUGUCCCCAUUUGUAGAUAAUGCACAGUCUGGUAUAUUCUCUGCAAAGAAGGAAACUUCUAAGUUAAUUUCAAGCUGUUAGAAGUUCUUCCUUUGUGCAUCAAUUGGUUAUUAGACUAACACUAUAUGUCAGGAAGGAUGGAAGUAAGCACUUAUGAGAGAAUGAAUGGUUCAGUUCAUUGAAAUGGGCUUUCUCCUUUGUUUCCCUUAAAAUAAGGUGCUUCUCAUUUGCUCAGAACAACUUGUUGAGGACAAAGUAUAUGUGUGCUAGUGACAAAAUAAUUCCAAACAACUGGAUGUGACAAUUCUAUAGCUGUCCAGAAAAUUGUUUCCCGUAAAAUCUGGGACAUUUCCUCAACAUCUUCUACUCAGAAAAAGUAUUUCACCACAAGAAAUAAACAGCGUAAGCAUCCAGCUCCCUCAGAAGACCCUGAGCGAGCAGCCACUAAAUGAAAACAAAACGCAAAUACUUCUCAUGACAACCAGAAUCACAGAAUCCUCGUAUCACAGAAAUGUAGAAUGGUUUGAGUUGGAAGGGACCUUAACCCUCUAGACCAGGUUGCUCACAGACCCAUCCAGCCUGGCCUUGAAUGCUUCCAGGGAGGGGGCAUCCACAACCUCACUGGGCAACCUGUUCCAGUGUCUCACCACCCUCACAGUAAAGAAUUUCUUCCUUAUAUCUAGUCUAAAUCUGCCCUCUUCCAGUUUAAAGCCAUUUCUCCUGUCACUUCCUGCCCUUCUAAAAAGUCCCUCCCCAGCUUUCCUGUAGAUCCCCUUCAGGUACUGGAAGGCCACUGUAAGGUCUCCUCAGAGCCUUCUGUUCUCCAGGCUGAAGAGCCCCAGCUCUCUCAGCCUGUAUUUGUAGGAGAGGUGGUCCAGCCCUCUGAUCAUCUUUGUGGCCCUCCUCUGAACCUGCUCCAACAGAUCCAUGUCCUUCCUGUGCUGGGGGGCCCAGACUAGAUGCAAAUGUAUAUGCCUUGUUAUAUAACGGAAUAUGCCUUGUUUUAAGGGGGGGGAAUUGUCAGAGUAGAUUCUCUGGUGCCUAGCAGGGUCCCUGAGCAGGCACAGCAGCUUUUCUGACAAUUGGACAGUUAACAUGCUGUCUUUUCUUAAUCCAGUAGUGCAUUUCCCAGAUCUUUUAGUACCACAAUAUGUAUGAAUUGUCUGUACUGCCAACAAACGUGGUUAAAUUUGGUGAAUGGGGCUAAGUAUAUUGGUAAGCUGGGAUAUAUGACAAAAUAACAUGUCUGCAGGCCAAAUAAAACUUUCUCUAGACACACAUCCCCUCUUCCAUGCAAGAUCUUGACCCCUUAAAGUGAGAAAUAUCAGAAUUUCCUUGAAAUUCAUCAGAGUUUUCCUGUGUUCGACUCUGAGGUAUUCCAAUACUCCAGUGUCAGUACUUUUUACAAGUUCUCUUGGGUGUGUUCACUCAGUCCUGUGAUCAUUUUUUGACCGCAGCAUGGAAGUGGCUUACAACAAACUGUAAGAUUGCAUGUGAUGAAGUUGUACCUGCAGGUCUCUUUAUUUGCAUUUGCAGAAGCAUGGUCUCAUCUUCUCUUGGCUUCCUUGGCACUGGCAGAGGACCAGAAGGGAAAACCCCUUCUCAGCUGCAGCUGAGCUCUGUGGCCCCCUGCCCACACUCUGUCUCCAGGUUGUGCUUGAAAGUCCUCUGCAGAUCACAGAGCAGAGCAAGCAGUCUGGCAUGAACAGCCUUUAAAAGGAAGGAAGAACUAGAAUCACAUUCAACGUAGGCUUUUAUGACCAAACAAAACUUUUUGUUGAUUUUCAAAUGCAUUUGUUACUUGUUAGCACUCCAUUUACCCAAUAGCAUUGUGAAGAUCAAAAAAACCCAUAAAUGCUAUAAUUUGUGGAUCCUGUAUUUUCACUGUACUGAUGAAGUUUCAGUUCCCAGAUGAAUCACAGCCAUCAGUUAAAGUAGCCUUUAAAAUGUGAAUUUGCAUUUAACAAAUACGAAAAAACAUAGCAGAGAAUGACUUUCUUUUUGUCUCCUUCAUUUUUUUAAGCUCAGGAAAUAUCAUGGAUUCCUAUUUUUUUCUUUGUAUUUUUUUUUUCUCAAGGUUACUGUUAUAUUUUCAUUCAUAAAUCAGUUCCAGCUCUCAGGCUGAGAUUAAUGCAGUCAGAGCUGUGAGUCACCCCUGCUACUUGCACCUCCACCUGCACACAGAGGGGCUCUUCUGCAGCAAGACCAAAAAGUGAGCAGGCUUUGCUUCAGUGUAAGCCUGUUGAUGAAUGACAUCUUGUUCUUUAGUACCAACAAAGUAAUUUAUUGUCAGCUUUUCUAUCAGAAAUUUCAUCAAAGAUCAUGAAGUUGAAAUCACCUUCUACUCACAGUUGGAAGUUGUUUUUUUCUUAUCUUUGGCUAUAGACUUUUAUCUUACAUACUACAUAUUACCCAUCGAGAUUUCUUCUGAGUUAUCAUGACUGAAGAACUGGAAAACCACACUUAAGCUUUCAUAUUCUCACUUUCUAAUUUCUUUACUAAAUAUCCUAUGCAUUACAUCAAAAUGGUCUAUUUUAUUUUCACAAACUUGAACAACACUGGCAUUUUAAAAAUGUGCUGGAGGUGAUCUAUUCUGAAGAUGGUUUCAAAAUUAAAACAAUUCUGGAACCUUCUUUCUGUAUGAAAUAGUGUUUUUUUUUUUUUCCAUUGCCUAAUACUCAUGUGAAUACUAGACUGAUAUUCAUAAACUGAAUAGAUAUUUUAAUGAGUAGAACAUAGAUGUGAAGUAGUCCAAAAUUUUUAUUAAAAAAAAUCAUAUUUAUUGUUGUGCUGUUUCAAGUCUUAAUAGCAGCUAACUCUUCUGAACAUUUCCCUCAACAAAUAAGAAAAUAAAAAGAGACUUCUCAUCUGUUACAAAAUAUAAGGAUUCGUACUGUAAUUACAGGUCUUGCAUAACGUUGUGUGCCAGUUGUCAGACUGAGCUUAGCACUUUUAAUGGAUGAGGUUGAAGAAGUUAAGCAAACAUUUUGCAAAACAAGUCAAAGAUCUUCUUAGCUGAGCCUUGAUGAUGGUUAAAGUCUGGUCCUUUGGGACACCAGGAGCUGGUUAUAAGCAUUCAGUGUAGAUGUUUUUGAGUAAUUUCCUUUUUGACUUUCAUAAAUCAUGCAGUACUUUAAUUAUGAAUACAUUACCAGCAGACCGUAGCCUAAGAAGGAUUAUGGAUUUUCAUUUGUUCAUAAGAUUAGCCCAUGUUUUUCUAGUUUGCUUAAGAUCUUUUGAAAUUCUUUUGCCUUAUCUCUAAACUAUAAUAGUGAUUGCACUUCAGACUGCUUAAUUGUUGCUCUUUAUCUAAUAGAUGUAGUAAUAUUAUUUGGUAUAAAACAUGCUUUUGUUAAACACUGAGUUCAUUUUCUGACUAAAUGAAAUAAGAAAAAAGAAAAAAGACAAACGCUGGACUUUUCUCAGCUAAGCCUCAAUUUUUUCCAAGGUCAGAAAGUAGUUGUAAAAUGCAUUAAUUCUGAUAUUUUUUACAGUGAUAUUUCCAUCCAAAAGACAAUUUGUCUGCAAGUUCUGGGAAUGUUCUUGUCAGUCUAGUUUGAAAUAGGUAAUUUAGUUCAAACUGAUAAAGUAAAUGACAUGACAGAAAAGGAAAGGAAAAGGAAAAGAACAGAGAAAACCGCAACACUGAGAAUGUUUCCUAAAAGGUGAAAUUGACUUUUGGUUAUUGGGAAGCCAUUGGCAAGACAGCACUCCUAGGACUGGUGGCUGUUCACAAUAUGGCAAGCCUGUGGGAUUUUGGUACAUUUACUAAUUGUGUGGUUUUCCUGGAUAUAUCUAUAUGGGUAAAAUAAACAGACCCAGACCAGAGAUUCAGGCACUGUAAUUCAAACUUUUGCAAUAUUACAUUUUUAGAAUAUUCUCUGGCAUGUUUUUGGCCUCAAACAACAACCACACUCCAUGCAAUUUCUGGGCACAGCUCUAAAGAUAAUACAGCCCAAGGACCAUUCCCAACGAGCAACAUGGGGUUGUGAUUAUCUUGUAGACUCUGAGACAGUCUGAUUAUACUAACAUAUACAACAUCAGCAGCAGGUCGUUCAACUCUGGCUGCACCAAAUUCCCGUGUUGAGGUGCAUCUACUCAGACAAGGCUUUCAUGAGGGGUAUUACAGAACCUAGUCUCUAAACUGCAGCACAGAUCUCAAGUAAAUAAAAAAUGCCCAUGAUGUCGUAGUAUUGCUCCAGUUUUCCACUGAGGAGAAAAACACUUGUCGUAGCCAUGCCACCAUCCCUUCUCUACCCAUAUCCCUGAUUUUAGCCAGAAUGAUUGAGUAUGGUAACCUGUCACAGAGUGCUCCUGGUGUUCAGGUGGAACCUCCCGUGCUCCAGUUUGUGCCUGUUGCCUGGAUUUCCCUGUUUUGUGAGGGAUUUCC
ensembl:lncRNA